rnacentral:misc_RNA from 1 species
GAUGAAGAACGUAGCAAAAUGCGAUAAGUAUUGUGAAUUGCAGAAUUCAGUGAAUCAUCGAAUCUUUGAACGCACAUUGCGCCCGCUGGUAUUCCGGCGGGCAUGCCUGUUCGAGCGUCAUUUCAACCCUCAAGCCCCCGGGUUUGGUGUUGGGGAUCGGCUCUGCCCUUCUGGGCGGUGCCGCCCCCGAAAUACAUUGGCGGUCUCGCUGCAGCCUCCAUUGCGUAGUAGCUAACACCUCGCAACUGGAACGCGGCGCGGCCAUGCCGUAAAACCCCAACUUCUGAAUGUUGACCUCGGAUCAGGUAGGAAUACCCGCUGAACUUAAGCAUAUCAAUAAGCGGAGGA